GAUGAAGAACGCAGCGAAAUGCGAUAAGUAAUGUGAAUUGCAGAAUUCAGUGAAUCAUCGAAUCUUUGAACGCACAUUGCACCCGCCAGUAUUCUGGCGGGCAUGCCUGUUCGAGCGUCAUUUCAACCAUCAAGCCCCAGGCUUGUGUUGGGGACCUGCGGCUGCCGCAGGCCCUGAAAACCAGUGGCGGGCUCGCUGUCACACCGGGCGUAGUAGAUUUUAUCUCGCUCAGGGCGUGCUGCGGGUCCCGGCCGUUAAAAGCCUUUUUUUACCCAAGGUUGACCUCGGAUCAGGUAGGAAGACCCGCUGAACUUAAGCAUAUCAAUAGCGGAGGA
rnacentral:misc_RNA from 1 species